rnacentral:rRNA from 1 species
AGAGUUUGAUCAUGGCUCAGAACAAACGCUGGCGGCGUGCCUAACACAUGCAAGUCGUACGAGAAAGUCCGCUUCGGUGGAUGAGUAAAGUGGCGCACGGGUGAGUAACGCGUGGAUAAUCUACCCUUUAGUCUGGAAUAACUUAUCGAAAGGUGAACUAAUACCGGAUAAUAUCCCGAUUUCUUCGGCGAUCGGGAUCAAAGAAGGCCUCUGCUUGCAAGCUUUCACUGAAGGAUGAGUCCGCGUACCAUUAGCUAGUUGGCAGGGUAAUGGCCUACCAAGGUUAUGAUGGUUAGCUGGUCUGAGAGGAUGAUCAGCCACACUGGAACUGAAACACGGUCCAGACUCCUACGGGAGGCAGCAGUGAGGAAUAUUGCGCAAUGGGGGCAACCCUGACGCAGCAACGCCGCGUGAGUGAGGAAGGUUUUCGGAUUGUAAAGCUCUGUCGAGCGGAAAGAAGUGCAUGGUGGUUAAUAUCCAUCAUGCUUGACGGUACCGCUAAAGGAAGCACCGGCUAACUCCGUGCCAGCAGCCGCGGUAAUACGGGGGGUGCAAGCGUUGUUCGGAAUCAUUGGGCGUAAAGCGCGUGUAGGCGGCUGGACAAGUCAGAUGUGAAAGCCCUGGGCUUAACCCAGGAAGUGCAUUUGAAACUGUUCAGCUAGAGUAAGGGAGAGGAAAGUGGAAUUCCUGGUGUAGAGGUGAAAUUCGUAGAUAUCAGGAGGAACACCGGUGGCGAAGGCGACUUUCUGGCCCUAUACUGACGCUGAGACGCGAAAGCGUGGGUAGCAAACAGGAUUAGAUACCCUGGUAGUCCACGCUGUAAACGAUGUUCACUAGGUGUUGGGGGUAUUGACCCUUCCAGUGCCGCAGCUAAGGCAUUAGUGAACCGCCUGAGGAGUACGGUCGCAAGAUUAAAACUCAAGGAAUGACGG